AUAUAUAUAUAUAUAUAUAUAUAUAUAUAUAUAUAUAUAUAUAUAUAUAAUCAAUUAAUGAGUUUAAUUAUUUUGUAAGUUAUCUUUUUGGAGACUAAAAAAUGUGGAAUAGCUGUUUUUGUACUUUUUAUUGCAUGUUUUGAUUUAAUACGUGAUAAAAUACUAUAUAUUUUCACAUUUUUAUUUUUUAAGUAUCUCUGUUUUAUGCAUGUACAGUGUAUUCACACACAUUUAUUCAUCUUUCUUCAUGUAUGUAUGCAUGUAUGUGGUUCACAACUGGUGGAAGAAAGGGAAUAAAAAGGAGUGAUGGAAGGAGUUGCAGAUCAUAAGAUGAGGCUUGGAAGGUGGAAGCCGGUUUUCUUCAGAGCUGACAGGAGGCUCAUGCAGCUUCUUCUGAUUUCGGACGCAGUGUGAGUCUAACAUGAGGAAAUGAUUAUGUAGCAGAACUGGACUGAAAGCUCUGUGAACAAGUGCUGUAAUCCCCUGCUAAGAAGAAGGACAAGAAAGAAAAGAGAGGAAGUGAAAAUCAAUGGAAGCUAGAGAGUUUCCGCUGCUAAUGAACAAGAGCUCGUUCACUGUCAUAAAUCUACUGAACGAAAAACACAGGACAAAUCUGAAUGACGAGGACUUUCAUGUGCAAAUUUCAGCGUUACCUUUACAAGAACCACUGCAGGACUCCUUUAAAGAGACAAACAACAGACAAUUGAGCAGACGAUCUCUAAAUCGAGUCGACAUAAAGAAAUGUUUAACCGUCACAGCGAGUAAGAUUUGGACACACUAAAAACUCUGUCACAUUAAAAUGCCUUUCAACUGACGUCCUGUUUGUUAUUAAAACUGCGGAUGCGGAGACGCGCGGGACAGAAGGCCAAAGAUCCUCCCCGACGAGGAGAACACAAAAUAAAAAUAGAUGAAACAUCCUCCGUGUUGACGUCUGCCGCUGAUUGAAGACAGCGACAUUCAAAGCGCACCUCUGAUGGAAAAAAAGCCUGAUUCGACUCAUUACUGCACUUCAAACCCGGCUCAGUGCUGACAUGCAGCGCAGCCCAAUCAUAAUUAAGCUGCAUAAAUAGCCAAACUCACUGAGGAGGCAGAGCCGCUGCGUGGAGGGAUUGAUGUGGAAGACAACAGGAUGCUGGAGGUUUUGGACAUCUUGAGGCUCGAUGACUGAAUCAAAGGCUCUGUGGGGGUCAGGGAGGACUAAAGAUCCUUUUUUUUUUAGUGACUGAGCCCCUACGGUGCGAUUAGUACACUGCUAACAUGACAGUAAAGCUGUAAACACGGGUCAAGACUAGUCUUGCAUAGCCAGAUCUUUGAAUUAUAGCUUAAAAGUCUGGUUCACUAUGCAGUUUAUUUUCACCAAAGUUGCCCAAGUAGACAGGAAGAGAACCGUGAAGUGACCAGCCACAUUUCAUUUUGUUUUAAUUAAUUAUUUAAGGGCCUUUUCUAAAUUAGUACCUUAUUUACUCCUAAAUGGUGCAUAUAAGUACAGCACCUUAAAGAUUAUCUGAAAGGGACAAAUAUGUACUAUUAAGGUACCAAUAUGUACACCUAGGUACUAAUGUGUAUCUUUUGGUAUCUUUAAAAGAUACAUAUUAGUACCUAAGUGUACAUAUUGGUACCUUAAUAGUACAUAUUUGUACCUUUCAAAAAGUGACAGCUUUUGUACCAUUUUUGUAUUUAUUAUUGUUUAUUUCUGUAUUAUUUAUUAGUAAAUACAUUUAUUUCUAUUAUAAUAUCACUGGCAUUAAAUAAGUGCAUUAUUUAUUAUAAUUUUUUUCUUAUUAUUACUGAUUACCUAUGUAUUUAUUAUUUAUUAAAAAAUACAUGUAUUGUUUCAUGCUGGUCUAUUAUUAAAUCACUCACAUAUGCAUGAAAUAAAUGCAGUAUUUAUUUAUUGUUUUUAUUUAUAUUUAUUUGUUAUAAUUUUGUUAUAUUAUAUAUUCAUAAAUAAAUUGUAUUCUUUCAUGCCAUUUUAUUAUUACAUCAUGGCAAUAAAUGUAUUUAUUUUAAUAUUUGUUAUUUAUUCUAAAUAUAUUACAUAUUAUUAAUUCACUAAAAAUGUGUGUGUCAAAUUUCAUAUAUAUUAUUUAUUAAAAAAUACAUGUAUGCCACUCUAUUAUUAUAUCACUGGCAUUACAUAAUUAAUUUAUUUUAAA
ensembl:lncRNA